rnacentral:lncRNA from 1 species
UCCGGUUGCCGGAUGGCCUAGGAUGGCCGCUUGCGGGGCCCAACCAAUCACCUUCCCAACCGUAGCCGUCCGAUCAAGAAACCCUUCGGGCAAGACUGUCUUUAGAUCCUCGUAGUCGCUUGGCAUAGCUCUCUUGCCUUGAGGUGGGGGCCGGCGAAGGGACCACAAAAACCGAUGUCCGCUGUGCUCUAGCGCGCACGCUAUCUCUUUCACCUGGGCCUCACCGAAACUUCCCAUGCUUCCAAAACACAGGAACACGACCGAGAAAGGAGGCUGAUCAUCAAGCCACCUCAAGAUAUCCGAGGCCUUAUCUUCAUCACUACUUUUGAGGUUCAAUAAGGGUCCCACUGGAUACACGGGUGGGAUUUUAUCACCAGAAUCAAGAUAAUGAAGAGCAUGCGAUUCUAGCUCCAUGAAUGUAUUUACCAAAAUGCCCUUGGUUUGUUUAUACUUGCUGACGUGGUUGAGGGUUGAUUUGGUGCUCUCCAUGUCCAGAAGCGAACCAGGCAAGACUGCGGCAGGGUAAGGGUUGAUGAAACUCGGGACGGCCAACUCAGCGGUUGAGCUCGUCAACUCAGUUAUAUCUAUGCCCCCCCUCGUCACGAAGCGAUUGAAAAUGGGACAUAAGUGCAAGAGCCGAAGCGUUGGAGGUGAAGAACAGGUAGGAGGGAACCUUAAAUUCGUUGGCCACGUCAAUUAGGCUUGCGGAAAACAUGUCGAGCACGAACCCGGCAAGCCGAGGCUUCGACGUCGACUCAGACUGAUCUGACUCGGGGAGUACGUUGAUAACGGCGUCUCUGACGUGAGAUUUGUGAUUUUCGACGAACAUUCUGAAGAAGGACCCGGGAUUGGGGACAAUGUCUUGUUUGUCCGGUUGGGCUUCGGGGAGGUUGACGAAGUUGAUGCGGUGAGAGAUUGAAGAAUCAGUGUUGGUGAAUGGUUGGGCGUAGGGAAGCUUCAUGACGAGGACUGUGAUAAACAGUUGGUCGUCCCGAGCAGCGAGUUGCUUUGCCAUCUCGACCGUUGAUACGAUGUGGCCGAUGCCUGGGGCGGGAACGAACACUAGUUGUGCUGGUCUCUUCAUCUUUUGAGAAAUGGCAAUGAAAAUCUGAGCUGUUUUAUUUAGAAAAACUCUUUCAUUUUUAUACGGUGAUACGGUGUGAUGUCAUGCCUUCGCUCAUAGUUUCUGAAUUUCAAGUCAAGAUCUUAAUUACUUUCAGUACUGGAAGGACUUGGGCAUCAAGCUUGUCUGCUUGAGGAUAAAACUAAAGGUUAUCAAAUUUGAUUUGUCAACUACUGGUGUAACAUGUGUGACACGAUUGUUUCGGAAAUAUAAAACAAAAGGAUAUUUUAAAAUACAUUUAACCAACUGCUGAAAUCAAAUAGAAUCAAAUUUAAUGGUAAAAAAAAAAUCUCACGGUCCAAAUUUAAAUUUAACAGCUAAAAUAAUUUAAAAAAUAGGCAUUUUGAUUCAAGUCCAAAAUAUUCAGCUAUUUUCAAAUCUAGUCCAGUUUUAUUUAAUUUGUUAUUAUACCUGUUUUGCCCCUUAGAGUAAAAAUAAAAAUAGAUUUAAAUUUCUUAAAUUUUAAAUUUUAAAUGCCUUUAUCUACCCACUUUCUAAUUGAAACAUUUUAAAAAUUCAUAUACAACAAAUAUGAUAAGUUUAUUAAAAAUUAAAAAUUUGGAGAGGUAAGAAACCUGUGAAAUCAAUAUAAUUAAUCUAUAAUAUAGGUAUAUUAUAAAGAAGAAAAACAUGUGAGGUAGAUUAUGAACAAAAACCUAUGAUAUAGGUCUACAAAAGUAUUGUCUACCUCAAUAUAUACCUAUUAUAUAGGAAGACAUAUACUUUAUACCUAGAAAGCAGAUAUACUCUACAAACUAUGAGCAAAAACCUAUGGUAAAAGUUGAUAAACAUUUAAUUUGAGAUAAGUUAUAAAAAAUAUAAAAAAACAUGUGAUAUAUAUUGUGAAAUCCCGUUUCUGGAUAUCAUUGUUAUAAUCCACAUAUUCGUAUUAUUGAGACUUUAUAUUAUUUUACAAGAAAUUAUAUUAAUUUAUUUGAAUUUAGAUUUUAAAUUAAACUAGUUACGAAGUUGAAGUUUGGAAAUUAAUUAUCUAAAAUUCGUAGACCUUUCUAGGUCACAAUUUAUAUUUUUGGAUAGAUCUCGAAACCACGAACGCAUAGGCGAAAGCCGUUUGCGAGUCCGGAUUAUAAUGGUAAAGUUGCGGACAUCUAAAGUUGUGUUUCUAGACUAUAGAUUUUAAUUUUCUUUAAAACUCCCCGUGGAAAUGGUGACCAAGGAAAAAAAGGGAGGACCAACCCAAUUCAUGGGGGAGUUUAAGGGAAUCAAUCAGGAAAAAGAAAAGAAAAAAAAAAAGAGGGGAGUUGCGGGAGAGACGGGAAAAAAAAAAGGGGGGAGAGACCAACUGGAGGAGGGGAGAGGAAAGGGAAGAAAAUGAGUGACCAAUGGGGGAAGCAGAAGGAGGGAAAGGAAAGAGGGGAGGAAACACACAACCCGGACCCCCUUCCCCUUGACCCGACUUUCCUCGACCUGACCCGCACUACAACAAAUUCAGACGGGUUUCCCGUCCAUUUUUCCGGCGAUUGACAACCUUCCACCCCUACCAAACAACUCCCCAGCCCUCCCUCUUCCAUUUCCACCCGAAAUUAGAAGGAAUUUGGUUUUGUUUUGGUGGAAAACAACGCGACGAGAUUUAUGGGUGUUGGCGGCAAUUCCACCGUUUUUGUAGAUAUCGCCGAUGACCACCACCCUUGUCCAACUCCUCUUGAGGCCUGGAUAAAAGCCCAAACCAGUUUGGGGGCGGCGGAGCUACGAUUUUGACAAAUUGGAGAACACCCAAUUCUAGGGCUCCGACGGGUUUAUGGCAAUUGGAGGCUUUUUCCGGCCAAAAUGGACUUGGCCACAAGUAUAAAACUUGCUUUACUCAUUGAGAGCUUCAUUUCUGUAAAAUUUGGUAAUUUUUAAAAAUAGUUGAAUUUUUCCGACAAGUCGGGGCUGCGGGUGUAGUGGCGGCCUGGCCAAUGGGUCGAAGACGUCCUUUUAAGUUCAAAUAAAUGCCUUGGUUUCAUAAUUAAUAUUUGUAUGACGUAAUUUGAUUGUUUGGACUUAGUUCAUUACGAUACCUUACUUGGUCAAAAUAUAAAUCAACGAUCCGACCAUUGGAUCGUCACCAAACCUUAAUGCGUGAUAGAACAUAAUAUUUGUGCAUCAUAGAAACUUACGGAUCGGGAAUCCGACGUAUGAAUCUUCCCUAAUUGGAUUUCUAAGUUGGUAAAAUAAAUUGUUGACCGCCACUUAAUUCUAGUAAUUGGUGGAGAUCCGAUCGUCGGAUCGCGAUGGGAAUUUAGUAUGUUGUUCUAGAAGCAUAAUGUGGACUUUGGGAAGUUAUGGAUCAGAAAUCCGAUGUGUGGAUCUUUAGGAUCAAAUUACGUAGAGUUGUGGACCCUAUCGUUGACCAAGAGUUGAUUUGUGGUCAACACGUCUCGAAACGUUUUAAAUAACAAAAUUAGUACUUCGGAACUAAUUCAAGUCUAGUGGGCCUAUAUUGGUGAGAUAGUGACUUGAAUGCAUGAGAUAUAAUUAUUAUCUUAAUUUCUUAUAUUAGUAUCAUUUGUGAAUAUGAAUUGGUCUUAUAAAUAUGAUUUCUAUUGAAAUGUGAACUUUAUAUAUUUAGCCAUAGACCUAUGCUAAUUAAAUAUGUUUUGGCUUGUGUAUUGAUGAUGUUUGUGGUAUCUAUGUGUUUAAUUAACUUUUUAAUAAUGGGAAUGACAAUUAUGGGAUCUAAAUAUUGUUUGAUAAUUAAUUGGGUAUGAUUGCCAAAUGAAUACCUAUUCGAACUUGGCAUUAUUACCUAGCAUGAGAUGGAGAUGAAAUUCAGGAAAUGAGUUAGGUACUUUAUUAGAUUUUUAGUAGAAAUAGUAAUUGAGGGAAUUCCCUGUGUUGUGCUCCAUAUGACUAGAUGAUGGUUGAUAUGUGGAAUCGAUAGCAUGUAUGUGUAUAACUAUGUAUAACUUUUAUGCUUGUAUGAUAAGAUAGUUAGUGGUCAUGAGAAGUUGAUAGUGCAAGUGAUUCCGUUGAGUGAUGGUUCGGAAUCAUAUCCUUGUUUGGAUUCCGUUGAGUGGUCCAAAGUCGCAUCACUUUACUUGUUGGUUUCUUAGAUUUGAUAUCAGCUACAGAGAUGUAAGCUUGGCUUAACUGUGUCACUCUAGCCUUAGUUUUAGUAUAUUUGUGAGCAAUGGUUUUGAGAAUCUUGUGGAUUGAAUUAGAAAAGCUGUUGAACGUUUGGGUGACUCCUUCAAGAUUUUCUAUGAUUUCUUAAAGUAUGAAUUUAGAAGAUAUGGUUAUAGUUGUUAUUAUUCUGGUCAAAUUAGUUAAUUAGUAUGGAUAGAGAAUUGUAUUGUGCUUCGUCGGUUCUUUGAUAUGAUAUAUGUUGUGAAUUGCGGUAUCAUGUUGCGACAUAAUGACUUAUAUAGAAGAUGGAAGGGAAAUCAUGAUUUUCAGGUGGGUUUGUUAUGUAACCCUGAGUCUAGUAAUUUCAUGGUUGUCAAGUUAUAUUGAUUGAUUGAGAAAUGUUAUGCCUUUCGGCUUAAACGGACUGUGUUAUAUGUCAAUUGUAGUGCACGAUGAACUACGAAUGGCUUGAUCCCUAGGUAGGGUACGUAGGCAGUCUAACGAGAAGCUUACAUGCAGCCAUAAAGUGCACAAAUUUUACUACGCAAUUCGAGGCAUGUGCUUGCUAUAUAUCUCGGAGACGAGUAUGUUAGAUAUAUGGUUAUUUGAUGACGUCACGUGUCAAUCAUGGACGUACGUCAGGAUCGGGACGUGACAUAUAUAGUUAGAUAAAAUACUAUUAAUCUAUAAUACUAUUAAUAUAUGUACAGGGUAGAUUGAUAAAAUAAAAAAUUCAAGUAGAUAAACACCAACGAAACCAAAUGUGGUAUCUGGAUGACUUUCCCACAUCAUACCUUGCAUAUGAGCCACAAUGUUUAGUUCACUUUGGUACCGUUUGGUACGCAGACGGGACAGGACAAGACGGAAUGAAACAAAGGUUCCAUGUUAUGUUUGGUACGCGCAGGAUGGAACGAGAAGAUUGUUCCGUUCUGCGUUUGGUACUCGUUGGACGGAACGGAACCAAAAGAUUAAAUGACUAACUUACCCUUGUUCCAUAUGUUGUUUGGUACAAUGUUUAUGCGUGGGACGGGACGGGACAAUUUUAUUUUAUUUUAUUUUUGAACUUGUUCAUAUUUGAACACAUAUAUGCUCAUCUAUGAUACAUUUUUUACACUAGCACAUGGCUAAAGAUAUAUUAUGCCAUGACCACCGGUCUGCAAGCAUCUCUGGUCCUCGCUGACAUUGCGAAUUCAAAAAUAAGCAAAGAAUAAACAUUGUAUAACUGGAGCAGACAUUCGGUAGGGAUUCAGAUAAACUUGAUCCAUAUUAAAGACGUCUUAGUUGCAUUCAAAUUAUUUGCCCAAUAGCAGAACAGUUUUACACGUUCUCCUUAAUCUAAAUAUAUAAGCACAUAACAAAUUUAAACAGUAGGGCAUUGACAAAGAUCGACUCCAUGCUGUGGAACUUAAAUCCACUAGGAUAAAUCAUGAACAAAAUUAACACGACCAUAGGUCAAACAAUACAUCAGUCGUGCAGUGUUCCCAGUAUAUCCUCAUCUCGAUAUAGAUGGUACCUAAAACAGCAAAAAAUAAAUAAAAAAUAAUGAGCAUCUAAUCGGACAAAGGAAGUGAAUGUCGAAAGAAAUAAUACAGAAGUAAAUGUUCUCAAAACUGCAUCUAUUUCUCAAUCCUGACUAGUUUCACAAGUUCUUGUAACAUACGUAACAUAGUAUGCAUUCUCAAAUGUUGUUCAGUGUCACACACAGAAAUCCAAAAACACAUGCUAACUAAAGCACACCUCUGCUUUACUGCAAAGAUGCCUACUUGAGUCAAUUCGCCAAAUUGUAAUCCUAGUAAUAAUACACAUACAAUGGAUAAAAGCACACCUGUUUACAGAGAGCGAUAAAAAUAAGACACAUACAUACAAACCCCAUGGACAGUCAUUCGUGUAAGAGAAACAAGUAACAUUUCACUAUGUAUUGUAUCCAUAUGUUGGUUUAUCUGAAUGUCGCAAAUUUGCAAGAUCCAUGUGUUGUAUCUCACUGGACAAAAUAGAUAACAUUUCACUAUGUAUUAUCCAAGUACUACAAGGUGACAAAAUAGAAGCUGAGAAUCACUUGAAUGAACUUACUAAUGUGAUCAGUUGUCCUUUCUUCUUGUCUGUCUGCCUUUGAGCUUUUAUUCAGUUGAUAAGAUUCUUCAACAAAGUAGAGGGUAUGCACCAAAACCUAACAAAGUUAGACCUUAAUUAUUAGAUACAUACGAACAAGCAUCAACUGUAUACUCAACCUAUAAAAGAAAGGGCAAUCGAAAUAAAGAAAACACUAGAGCAGAAAAUUCCACCUUCCACAAUUGCUAAAUUAAUGUAUGAGUAAUUACAGCAAUAUUGGCUUCUAAUCAAUGUGACAUAAACCUCAAAACUAGCUAGAAGACUGAAUCGCAUUCAUAAUUCCACCAAUAUACGACAUUCAGAUCAACCAGCACAUGGAUAUGGCAUAAAUUUACUUGACCAAAACCCUACAGAAUGAGAUUACUUUACACUGGUGAGGGUAGCAUCUGGAAGUGAAAAUGAUAACCAAACUGUUGCAAAUCUGCAAGAGCACAUAUUUUCUAUUUCUACAGAAAAUUUAUCAACAUUAUUAGUUCUUUUCACCAUUUAAUUUCCAUAACUUUCGUGCUACUAAACACAAAAUAAACAUGACAGAAAAAACAUACAGAUUAAGAAGCAAACUUACUCGAAUUGAUAGGCAUAAUCGACGAGGUCGAUGUUGGGAAUAACAACAGGGCCUCUCGAAGGACAUGCACGAAACGAUUUUCUCAGAGGAAGACGAUUGUUCUCUGCAGGAUCAAACAUUCUCCUAAAACAAUAUGACUGAUUUGUGGAUCAAAUUAAAACCCAGAAAUCCCAGAAAUAAAUCAGAAUGCAGAAAUCCCAGAAGUAAAUCAAAACCCAUAAUCGAUUAAACCCAGAAAUCGAUAAAAACCAGAAAACGUUCAAAACCCACUAAUAAUUUCACAAAUCUUCAAAACAAAAUCGAAGAAAAUGAAGAAGAGGAAGUGGAAGAGGAAGCCCUGAGAGCUACAAAAAAACAGAUUGAACCUGGAACGGAGAUGCAGAUCUGAAGAUGCUACACGGAAGAGGAUGAGGAGGAAGGUUCGCAGAGCUGCUACACGGAAGAGUUGCGAAGGGGAAAUGCAGAGCUGCUACACGGAAGAGGAUGAGGAGAAAGGUUGCGAAGGGGAGAUGCAAGGGUGAAGAGGCUACACGGAAGAAGAUGAGGAGUAAGGUUACGAAGGGGAGAUGCAGAGGUGAAGAGGGUCAGCGGCUGAGAAGAAGAAAAGAUAGUUUUUAGGGUUUGUUGUAUGAUUUUGAUGAUGUAAAUUUUGAAAAAGACAAGGAGCAUUUUUGUCUUAAAAUGUUAAAAUUUUCUGUCCCGCGGACGUGGAACAACUCGUUCAGAGGGGAGGUGGAACAUAAAAUCAUUCAAAACUUGUCCCGUGAAACAGCCCGUUUCACUCGUUUUAGGUGCACCAAACGUGGAACGGAACGCAUCGUCCCGUUCCGUUCCGUCCCGUCCCACGUACCAAACGCGACCUUUAAGCAUGAUUAAAACGGACACGAGAAUUAAAUGCAAAAAGUGUCAUGCAUCAUUCAAAACAACACCCAAGUAGAAGAAUCAUCAUCCUGUUGUUGUAGAGCAACAAGUACCAUGAUAGUAUGUUUGAGUUUCUCUCAGAAAAGUUGUAGCGCAACCACCUUCAACUCAUGGUGGAGCAACAAUGCAGUCUUCCAUGUUGCAACAACUUUAGCAUAAAGGGGGAGGAUACUCCACCUGAUGCCCAACAGCAGACGCAAUAGACAUCCCCUUCUCAUCCCUCAUAUAUAAUCACCCCAAAAUCACCCAACCAAUAAUUCUUACGAGAAAGUUUAAGUUAUUAACAGAUUAGUUCAAAUCCUAUAAUUAAGGAAUAUGUUCAAUUACUAAUCCUAAAACUAAAGGAUUAGGUGCAUUUACAUAUUUAUAAUAAUUUAUAAUCUUAGGGGUAUAUUGGUGUGAAAAAAGUAAAUAUGUUGAUGUGAAAUCCUAGUCAUCAAACCUAUUUCACAUGACACGCUCCGACCCUGAUAUUCCCCGAAUACCAGGAUAGACACAUGUUGGCCGACACCCGAGGGUGACGAAAGCCAUUAAUUGAUACAAAAGCUAAGAAUAAGAAAUAAAUUAAAAAUUUAGGAACGUGCUCAGAACAUACAACUAACUAAAGUUCUAAAAGAAUUAAUAUAAAAUUUAAUAAAUAACGGAUGUGGUCCUACACCGAGAGGACUCGAAUAUGCCAAAGUGAAGACGUUGACGUCGUGAUCGUAUGCCUCGAUUCUAAAUCCUGAAAGGGGGCGCAAAACAAGGGUGAGUGGACCAAGUUCAUAUAUAUAUAUAUAUAUAUAUAUAUAUAUAUAUAUAUAUAUAUAUAUAUAUAAUCCGAAAACAGUUAUGAACAUACUAACCCCCAAGUUUAUAUAUAAUGAAAACUACUAGCAUAAUAAGUGAUGGAUUUAAAUAAAAAUCCUAGCAUGCCAAAAGUAUCUCAAAAAUCAUAUUACGGAAUAACAUCGCGGAAAUCAAAACAGUAAACAUCUCAUAGAUCAUCUCGUAAGCCCGGUGUGCUGCUAGAAAAAUCACUGAAUAAAUAUAACUCCCGGCCCAAUGCCUGUUUUGUGGUCUCUGCGCCCGUAGCCAGAGAUUACCAACUCCCAGCCCAAUGCCUGCUUCGUGUCCCUCAGCCCGUAGCUAGGGAUUAUUUCUCCCGGCCUAUCUGCCAACACUAGAUCCUCGCCCCAGGCGGCAUAGUGUCUACUAGGUACGCACAAAUAGUUACGCCUCUCAUAAAUAACCAUUUCAUAGCAUAAAGUCAUCCAUCGUCUAUACUAUAAAGAGAGGUUUCUAAAACAUGUCCUAGCAUCCUAUCGUCAUCCAUCGGAUAGUCUACCAGUUCAUGGUUUUUAUAGAAAAUACGAUAUAUUAAAAUAUAGCUCAAUAUAGGCCAACAAUUUAUUCCUCACCAAAAACACGAGACGAAAAUCAACAUAUUCAAUAAACAUGCUUAACAUAAAAUCAGAACAUAAACUCGUAAGGCAUGCUAUUCAUUUAUGCAAUUGAACUAUAAAAUCAUGUAAUUUUAGAAGGGGUCCACUCACAGUACUUCGCCGUCGAAAAGUCACGCAACUAGCAAAGACAGAAAUGCCACUAUAAUUGCCCCUAAGCACAUAAAGAGUCUAAUAAAUAAAACUAUAUAAUAGCAAUUGAAUUUGGGAAAACGGACAUUGGAAACGGAUUCAGAACAUCGAAUUACCAUAUAAGAAGGGUCCUGGUUAAAAAAAAGACUCGAAGGCCUUAAGCCUAAGGAUUUUGGGUUUCUAGAUAAAAAGGAUUGGGUUAAAAAAGGUUAGGACCUAUUAAGUUUUGGGUUUGGAUAUGUUAGGUACAAAAGGGGUGGUUUGGGCUUAAGCCCAAAUCCACACACACACGGCACACAACAUACACACACACACACACAUACUACACAAACACACACACACACACACACACUCACAGCCCAAAGGCCUCACAACCAAAAGGGUUGGGCUCGGCAGGGAAGGCCCAAAGGCCUUGGGUUUCGUGGGUCGCCGGACCCAAUGGGAGAGAAAGCCAGAAAUCGGCCUGAAACUGCACAACCUUUAAACGGCCAUAACUUUGUCACAACUCAACGAAAUCAAGUGAAACAAGAACGAAAGUUGUAGUUAUCGAAGAGAUGAAGAGAAUGGUACCUCGCACGACGUCUAACUCGCCGUGGUUUGGCCGGAAAACGCCUCGAAAGCUGUCGGACUCGCCGGAAACUGGGUAAGAUUCAAAUGAGUAUAACUUCUUCAAUACUCAACGAAAUUGGGUGAAACAAAAAUGAAAGUUGUAGUACUCAGGGAGAUGAAGAGAUUGAUACCUUAAAUGCCGGCCAACUCACCGCGGUUUGGCAGGAAAUGGCCUCGAAAGGGACAGUGCUCGCCGGAGGCUCCUGGGAUUUCGUCGUCCUUUCUACAACGAGAGAGAAAAUUGCAGAGGUUUUGAUGGUGACGUCCUCAGCAGAUGGUGUGGUUGAGUGUUGCUUAGGGAAAAGGAGUUGCAGGAUUUCGUCGUCCUUUCUACAACGAGAGAGAGAAAACCUGCAGAGGUUUUGAUGGUGAUGUCCUCAGCAGAUGGCGUGGCUGAGUGUUGCUCGGGGAAAAGGAGUUGCAGCGAGGGAGAGAGAUGAGGUUCGAGAGAGAGACACGGGAGAGUUGGAGAAGAGAAGAGAGAGAGAGACCAGGGGAAAACAAAAAAAAUCAUAAGGUGGGCCCCACGUGGCUCACCAUUUAAGAACUAAAACUAUUUUUAAAAUAUAAAAGGGGGUUGGGGUGUUUCAUCACAUAAAUGACUAUUUUUAAUUCUGGCUCACAAAAUAGGAUCUAUAUCAAUUUUCCCCUAAAAAAAAUUAUUUAACUCAAAAUUCACCAAAAAAAUAAUCUAUAAAUACCUAUGUAUUUGUUCCAAUAUCCAUAUAAAACUCAAUUUUCUCCUACAAUUCUUCCAAUUUAUCUUUCUACCAUUUCUUUCCAUUUCCAAAUUGUUCAACAUGGCAAGAGAGCAUAUUAGAGGUUGUAAUUGGACCUAUGAGGAAGUUGAAGGCUUGCUUUGUGGAAAGAUUUAGUGAUUUUUGAACAUUUAUUAGAAUUUAAAUAUUUUUAGAUCAAAAUGUUCAUAUAAUUAAUUUACGAUAGUCUACAUAAUUUUUUGGGUAAAGUACAAAAAACUACCUCAACUAUUGGUAUCACGACACUUUCAUACCUCAUCUUUAGAAUUUAGUCCAAUGUUAUACCUUCCGUUACUUGGCCGUUUACUUUUCAGUUAAAUGCUGACGUUACUUGAUCCGGAACCCACUUUUUAUUAAAAAAUUAAUAAAAUAUUAUUAAAAACUAAAAAAAUCAUUUAAUAAUUUUUAAAUAUUAAAAUAAUAAAGAAAAGUUUAAAAAAAAAUUAAAAAUCUUCUGUUCGUGCCCUUUCCCCUACCAUUUUCUCUCUCUUCUCCCCCAUCUUCAUCUUCUUCCCCCUUCCAGCUCCCUUCCUGCAACCCAGAAAAAAAAAAGUUAAAAAAAAAAAAUCCCAAGUUCGUCCCCUUCCCCAGUUCCCCCCUCUUUCUUCUCCCCCAUCUUUAUCUUCUUCCCUCUUCCUGUGACCCAGAAAAAAGAAGGUAAAAAAAAUAAAAAUAAAACAAAUUUGUCUUCCCCCUCACCCACCCUCAGUUUGUUCCCCCCCCCCCCCCGGAAGAAGAAGAAAGAGAGAGAGGGGAAAAAAACAAAAAAAAAAGGAAACCCAGUUGAAGGGUUUGUCCGUCCUUCCCCCCCUCCCCCCUUUCGUCCCUUCCCCCUUCAUCUUCUUCCCCUACCUGCUUAAUCUUCAACAAAAAAAAAAUAAAAACCCAUCAACCCCGAAACCCCAUUCCUGAAACCCCCCCCCCACCCAGAUCCCUCCACACCUGCAACCCAAAUCCACCACCCCUCCAAUCUGCAAAAGAAGAAGAAGAAGAAGGAAAGAAAAAAUAAAUAAAAAUGCCAGUUCGUCUGUCCAUCCCCCUCACCCUACCCAACUUGCAGAAGAAGAAGAAGAAGAAGAAGAAGAGAGAAGAAGGAAAAAAAAAAAAAAAAGGAAACCCAAAACCUAGUUCGUUCGUUCCUCCCCCCACCCCCACCCCCAUCGCACCCAACUUGCAGAAGAAGAAGAAGAAGAAGAGAGAGAAGAAGAAAAAAAUAAAGGAAACCCAAAACCCAGUUUGUCUGCCCCCCAACCCAAAACCCAGUUCGUCCGCCCCCCCCCCCCAACCCACCCAACUUGCAGAAGAAGAAGAGAGAAAAGAAAAGAAAAAAAAUAGGUAGGGGAAGAAGAUGGGUUUUCAAAUUUGGGCCGGGGGGGUUUGACGGGAUCUGGGGGGUGUGAUGGGAUUUGGGCGGGGGGGGUUCAGGUAUGGGGUUUCGAGGGGGUUGAUGGGUUUUCAAAUUUUAUUUUAUUUUUUUUUUUUUGUUCAAGAUUAAGCAGGUAGGGGAAGAAGAUGAAUGGGGAGAAGAGAGAGAGGGGGGAAUGGACGAAAGGGUUUUUUUUUAUAAUUUUUUUUUACUUUUUUUAUUAUUUUAAUAUUUAAAAAAUAUUAAAUUUUUUUUUUAGUUUUUAAUAAUAUUUUAUUAUUUUUUUUAAUAAAAAGUGGGUUUCGGAUCAAACCAUGUCAGCAUUUAACUAAGAAAUUCACGCCAAGCUAACGGAAUGUAUAACAUUGACACAAAUUCGUAAGAUGAGGUAUGACAUUGUCAAUUUUAAAAGAUGAGGUAUGAAAGUGUCGUGACACCAAUAGUUGAGGUAGUUUUUUGUACUUUACCCUAAUUUUUUUUUUAAAUUUAAUUUAAAAAAAAAAUUAGCCUAAGUUCAUUAUUUAAUAAUCUCGGGCUAAAAUUUUAGGCCAGAAGGGUAUGAGCAGAAAAACUUAAACAAAAAUGCUCCCAAAACAAAAAAAUUCAAAAACAACCCAAAAUAAUGCUGGGGUACUUUCAUGAUUUUAAUAGUAUUUUUUUAAAUAAUAAUUCUUUUUGUACAAUUUUUUUUUAAAUUAAUAUCUCACAAUAGGUUAGCAAUAAUAUAAUUCAAUCAGUUGUUCAUUAAAUAUUAUUUUCUCUAUUUUUAAACACUUUCAAAACAUCUUAAAAGGUGUGUAAUACCGGUUAAAAAAAAAGUCUUUCACACGCACAUAAUAAUGUGAUUAAAUUAGUUGUUAAAUGAUUUUUUUUAACAAACAAUAUUAUAUAUACUAAGGGGGAGGAGAUGGGCUUAGCCUCACAAUGAACUAGCAAUAAUGUGAUUUAAUCAGUUGUUUAUCAAAUAUUAUUUUCUCUAUUCUUAAUGUAAAUUCAAUAGAAUGUAGAUGGAAAUUGAAAUGCCGAAUUUAUUAUGUGAAUUUAACUGCUUUGAUUGGUUUGUGAGGGAUUUUUUCUAGCAUGAUCUAAGAUUAUUCAUUUAAUUCAAAUAUUUGAUUUUCCUUUUGUCAAUUCACGCAUAUUAUUACGUUUACAAUUUGUCAAUUCACGCAUAUAAAUAUGUUUACAAUGUGAAGAAGGCAGUUAUAAUAGCCUUCACGGGAAGACACAACACAAAACAUUAAGAUUUUCAAGAGUUCUAAGUAGAUCAACCAAUAUAAUACGACAAUACGAGUCACCCACGAGUAAGCCAAAUGGAAGAAAAUAAACUACUCGUGCAGGAUAUUCCAUGAAACGGUGUGAUAUCCACACACCCUUUUUUACUUCUCCCACACCUUUUUGGUUUUCGACCGUUGGAUCGGAUAAAUUGAAUAAGAUCAACGGACAGAAAUUAACAAGGGGUGUGUGAGAAGUAAAAAGGGGUGUGUGGAUAGCACAUCCCUUCCAUGAAAUCAAAGUAUCAUUUAACUAAGUAUGGCCAUGCGCAACACUAUAAUAUACAGAAAUCAUGCUUUUUUAAGUGACCCGAAUAUAUGUAUGAGGCGUCUUUGAGAUGGCAGCUUAUUAACUUGCUAUGGCUCAACCGCUAGUGUCCAAAGUUCACUACCAAAGACCAUGUGGACAGAUUUAAGCGCCAUCUAAAAAGAAUAUAACUUAGACAACUGCUGACCUGCACCAAAAGCUAAAUUAGCAAGAAAGUAAAUUCCAGCUGCAGAUACAAACAUCACGAUACAUCACAUAAACCUAAGAUGAAGCUAAACUCAAUAAAAAGACAUGCCCACUGACUUGCCAGAAACCAGCCAGUUUAGUUUUAGGAGAAUUCACACUUUUAAUCCAGUCCUUAACUAUGUAUUUUUAAGAAUCCUGAGAAAAUGCAUAUCAUAGACGAUUAAAGUUGGAUUGACAAUCACAAACGAUAAACUUACAUGAAGGGCAGUUUUCCAUGGAUAGAUAGUUCUUGUUAUGAUCCUGCAAAGGAGAUGCGAAACAGUUCAAAAAACCGCUAAUAUCAAUCCAACUACAUCCAGUCUCCUUCCUCAAACCCUUUUCCCUCAUUUGUUUCCUCACAGUAUCCACGUUUUCCCACUUGCCUUCCUCGGCAUACAUAUUUGAGAGCAAAACAUGGUAGCCCGUUUUGCCAUUUGCUGCCUCUAGUUCAAGCAAUUUCCCAGCAACAAUCUUUCCCAAUUCAAAAUGUUUAUGAAUUCUGCACGCCCCAAGAAGUGAGCCCCAAAUUUCCAUCGCAUCACCCUCUUCGCCCAACCCUUUGACAAACUCGUAGGCUUCAACCACUCUCCCAACCCUCCCUAACAUGUCAGCUAUAUAGCAAUAGUGUGCCGUUAGUGGUUUAAUAUUGUAUUCCCCUUUCAUUGAAUCGUAUAUCGAAAGACCUUCGUUAACCAAACCAGCAUAACUGCAGGCAGACAAGACCGCAACAAAGAUUAUGGCAUCAGGUGCAGUGCCAGAUUUCUGCAUUGAGUGAAACAAAGAGAGAGCUCUCUCACCCAUUCCAUUCUGACCGUAGCCCAGCAUCAUUGUGGUAUAUGUGACAGUGUUCUUCUCAUGGGAUCCAGCGAAAACAUUUUCAGCAUAAGUGACUGCACCACAUUUGGAAUACAUGUCAAUUAGAGCAGAUCCCACGAAGACGUUUUGGUCAAGGUAGUGGCGGAUAGAGAACCCAUGGAUUUGCUUAACCAUAUCUAUGUUUCCCACAGGAUUACAAGCUGGUAGAACUGAUGCUAAGGUCACAUCAUUUGGUAUUAUUGCUCAAGCAUCUGCCUAAAGACAAAGAAAGCUUCUUCAGAAAUCAUAGUAUUCCAUGAAACAACAUCCCUCUCAGGCAUCUUAUGAAAAAUUUUGAAUGACAUGUCAACAGAAUUGCACCUUGAAUACAUUACGAUAGUCGCAUUGAGUAAAAUAACGGGCAUCAAUCUCAAAUGCUUGAUGAUAAAAGCAUGCAGCUGUCCAGCUAAUUCCAACUGUUGCAUCUGUGAACAUGCAGUUAAAACUGAUAGGAAGGUCACCUCAGCAAGAAUAGCCAGUUCUGAGUUUACAGCUUGAAAGAAGAGGUCGAUCGCUUCAAUAGGACUGUUAUUUUGAACAUAUGCACCGAUCGUAGUGUUCCAAAUCUCUGUAUUUCUCUCCGAACAAUGGUCAAAAGUCUUCCUAGCAUAUUCAAGGCAACCAAACUCGGCAUACAUAAAUAUUGCCGAGCUCACAACAAACAAGUCAGUCACAUAUUCCCCACCCAACCUAAGAAGCUUACCGUAUAAAACACUCGCGUUCUUAUAGUCUCCCAUAGCGGAAAGUGCAGGGAAAACAUUGACAAAACUGACAGCACUCGGUCUUAUUCUCAUUCCCAUCAUCAUCCUAAACUGCUUCACUGCUUCUGCAUAUCUUUCCGUCUUAACAUACCACGAAACCAGCGUAUUCCAAGCAACCACAUUCCUCUUGCGCAUUGUAUCAAACACUCUACGCACUAAAUCAUACUGUGAAUAAUCAAAGUCAUAAUAACAAGCAGAGUACAUAUUCAAAAGCAAAUUACACACAAUCCUACUGGGUUCGGAUGACACCGAAGAACAUGGCAAUGCAGGGCUUACCCAUCUUGAAAUUGCGCGUGUCGGUGCAGGCUUUGAGGGUAGAAGAGUAAGUGUAAGGGUCGGCCUUGGUGCCGGGAGAGGCAGAUUUCAUCUGGGAGUAGAACAAGAGGGCUUCAUUGGCCAUGUUGUUGCAGAUGAAUCCAAUGAUGAUGGUGUUCCAGAGCACGGUGGAGGGGCGAGGCAAAGUAUCGAACAGUUGGCGGGCAAGGUGAGGAGGAGGGAUUCCUCCUGAAAAUGUUUUGCGGACGAUUCAUAAAAUUUCGUGCUAAUGAUCGAAACCAUUAAUGAUAUAAAUCAUUAUGGAAAGAUCAUCUUUAUAAAAAAAAAUUAAAGUAAUGGUUAUUAAGUCAAAUAACUGCAACAAAUAGAUAAAACAGCUCAUAAUACUAUUAACAAUUCUUACUAUAUAUUUUUACACAUUUUGAUGACAUAACGAUUUCAAGUGGUGAUCUUUACGCAACGACAUAUAAUAUGAACAAUUCUAACGAUAAACACAAAAUUUUGAGAGUCCGUUACAACACAUUUUUAGGAAGAUAUCCUUCUCAUCGUUUCAGUUGUAAAGUAUUAUUCUAAGCAUGUAUAUCAAUUGCAUGGCUUGUGGGAUGGGGGUGGUGUUUUAAUUCUUGGAUUUUUUUUCAUGUGGAGGUGAUGAUGUCAUGCCUUUGCUGUCAUUUGCUAAUUUUUUUUCAUGUGGUCUAUUAAUACGUUAGUGGUUGGCAAUGCUCACAGCAUGUAAUGAAGAGUUGGUCAUCUGGAGCUUUCAUUAUUAUUAGUAAAAAAACCUCUAUAUUGAAAAUGAUGUCAAAAUCAGUUUUUAGGCAUGCAUUAGGUGCACAUACCAGCUGAAUUGAUCAGUACAAGUUAGAUUUUCAAAGAAGAGAAAAUGUCACCACAAGACUUUAAGAUUCGAUACGUUGAACUAUGUAUUAACGGAAAACUUACAAUACAAACGUUGCAAAUUACAUGACGUAAAAAUAAACGAGGAGAAUAUAAAAGCCCCCCCCAACCCAAUUAAAUUUGAUCAAUAAAACGCCCUAAUGAAGAGUACGAAGAACCACCAUCCACCAAGGCUUUCUUGCUCUUUUCACUCAUCUCCUUCACUCUUUUCCUUACAUCACUGUCAAGCUCCAUCACUUGCCUUAUCCCUCUUUCUAUGUCUUCUGCACUCACCACCACGUCGCUGUCCUUCCUAUAAUCCAUCUUAAUCUCCACUGCCAAUCCCAACUCCACAACCAACUGAAAGGCAUUCAGGUUUUGCUCCGCGUACAUUGGCCAUGCGGCAAUCGGCACGCCAUUCCAUAAACUUUCCAACGUAGAAUUCCACCCGCAAUGUGAUACAAACCCUCCGGUUGCCGGAUGGCCUAGGAUUGCCGCUUGCGGGGCCCAACCAAUCACCUUCCCAACCGUAGCCGUCCGAUCAAGAAACCCUUCGGGCAAGACUGCCUUUAGAUCCUCGUAGUCUCUUGGCAUAGCUCUCUGGCCAUUAGGUGGGGGCCGGCGUAGGGACCACAAAAACCGAUGUCCGCUGUGCUCUAGCGCGCACGCUAUCUCUUUCACCUGGGCCUCACCGAAACUUCCCAUGCUUCCAAAACACAGGAACACCACCGAGAAAGGAGGCUGAUCAUCAAGCCACCUCAAGAUAUCCGAGCCCUUAUCUUCAUCACUACUUUUGAGAUUCAAUAAGGGUCCCACUGGAUACACGGGUGGGAUUUUAUCACCAGAAUCAAGAUAAUGAAGAGCAUGCGAUUCUAGCUCCAUGAACGUAUUUACCAAAAUACCCUUGGUUUGUUUCAACAUGCUGGCGGAGUUGAGGAUUGAUUUGGUGCCCUCCUUGUCCAGAAACGAACCAGGCAAGACGGCGGCAGGGUAAGGGUUGAUGAAACUCGGGACGGCCAACUCAGCGGUUGAGCUCGUCAACUCAGUUAUAUCUAUUCCCCCCUCGUCACGAAGCGAUUGAAAAUGGAAAAAAAGUGCGAGAGUCGAAGCGUUGGAGGUGAAGAACAGGUAGGAGGGAACCUUAAAUUCGUUGGCCACGUUCAUUAGGCUUACGCAAAAUAUGUCGAGCACGAACCCGGCAAGCCGAGGCUUCGACGUCGACUCAGACUGAUCUGACUCUGGGAGUAAGUUGAUAACGGCGUCUCUGACGUGAGAUUUGUGAUUUUCGACGAGCAUUCUGAAGAAGGACCCGGGAUUGGGGACAGUGUCUUGUUUGUCCGGUUGGGCUUCGGGGAGGUUGACGAAGUUGAUGCGGUGAGAGAUUGAAGAAUCAGUGUUGGUGAAUGGUUGGGCGUGGGGAAGCUUCAUGACGAGGACUGUGAUAAACAGUUCGUCGUCCCGAGCAACGAGUUGCUUUGCCAUCUCGACCGUUGAUACGAUGUGGCCAAUGAUUGGGGCGGGAACGAACACUAGUUGUGCUGGUCUCUUCAUCUUUUGAGAAAUGGCAAUGAAAAGCUGAGCUGUUUUAUUUAGAAAAACUCUUUCAUUUUAUAGUAGAAUGGUAUGAUGUCAUGCCUUCGCUCAUAGUUUCUGGAUUCCCUACACGUCAAGAUCUUAAUUAAUUUUCAUACUGGAAAGACUUGGACAUCAAUAGCAAGAAGAUAAAACAAAAGGUUGUCAAAUUUUAUUUUGGUUCCUCCACUAGCCGUAGUCUAUGGAUAAGUACCACCAAUUAAGUUUCACUUUUUAUUUUGGUACUUACGUUUCAUAUUGCCUUGAGUAGAAUGUUGAAGAAUUGAAAACCGACAUGGUUCACACGCGGUCAAGAUUUCAGUUACCAUUACUAAGCACACCAUGUUCUAUACAGUGGUUAUCUUUUCUUCUUCUUUUCUCAAAAGCAACGAAAUAUUCAUCGUCGAAUUAGAAUCUUGUUCACAAUUAGAAUGCUGGGGUUGGGGUUUGUUCACAAUUGGAGCAAUAGUAUAGGUCCCGGAAUGGAGAUACCCUUACCUUUAUCAUUCUUCUUUUGACCCUCAUUCUUGUCCUCAUCAUCCUCACUGUCAGGAAGAUUAUCAGAGUCCUCCAUCCUAACCAAAAUCUCGAAAUACUCAUGAUAAUCAGCGCAGGGAAGUGCAUUGGCAAAGGUACGCCACUUCUUCUUAGAUCCCAACUUGAAACGUCGAAGCAUCUCUCCCUGAUUACCAGCUAUAUCAGGGUCAUAACGAGACAAAUCAGUAAACCUUCUAUAAUAUUCAUGUGCCGACAUAUUUCUCUGUUUCAACCUGGUGAAUUCCUGUUUCUUACGAUCAAUAUACUCAGGAGGGACGAAUCUCUUCAUAAAAUUCUCUUUGAACACUUUCCAGUCGGCUGCCGUCUCAGGUGACAUGUACCUAGUCUGAUUCAUCCACCAUGCUGCUGGUUCAUGACCCAAAAACCAAGUGGUGGUCUCCACCCACCUAUUAGCAGGGAGAUUCCCCUGACUCUGCAUCACCUGGAAGGUCUUCUCAAUAUGAUCUAGCCGUUUCUCUGCCCCCUCAUGACUUUCAUUACCCAUAAACCGAUCUAACUUCAAGUUGUACAUGGUCUCCAGAGGUGUCCUCGGAGGAGGGGGAGGACGAAUCACAUUUUGUAAAGCCUGGGCCAUCGCUUCCCCUAGCUGAGUAAUAUCCGGGAAAUUAGGUUCAGAAGUACGGCGGGACUCCCUACGCUCCCUACGAGGCGGCAUGAUUCUGACAGAAAACAUCAAAAGAUCGUUAAGACAUUAACAAAUUUACAGGACUGCAACCUAAGCUCUGAUACCAAACUGACACACCCCGAUCCGGAGGAUCCAGGUGUGCUGGCCGUCACGUGGGCGUGACGUAACCAUCGGCGCGACACGGAAGCAAAAUAACAAUAUAACUCAGCAGAAAUUCAAACCAAACUCAAACAUAACCACCUACGAACAUAACCGGACGAGUUAUCAGGUAAACACAUAAGUUCAGAGCAUAGGUUAACUGCAGUCAAGUAGGUCUAAAAUAAAAUACAUCACCCUCAGGUGAGUCCUACAUGUCGAAGGUCUGUCAGAAAGCCGGAAAAGACCUCGAGAGCCACCAACCGCUAAUUUAGAACCUGGAGGGGCGCAAAACAAAAUGAGUGGGUCAGUAAAACCAAAGAUUUUCCAAAACAUUUCAAUUAAAACAUUUCUAACCCCUCACCGUAAAACCUGUAUACAUUCUCCAGAAAAAGUAGAUAUAUAUAAAACCAUAUGAAGUCUCAAAACUUAAAUCCCAAAUCUUUAACAUUUUUCAAGGAAACAUGCCAUGCAAUAAAUCAAAAUAUAAAUCAGGUGAAAUAAGGAAUCAAUCGGAGACCCUGCAGUUGGUCCUAUACGAUUAAUUCAACAGCUCAAUAUCCCACUAAGCCGGAGCCACCACAGUGACCUGUACGGCCCUACUCUGCACAUCACUCGGAACUACGUGAGGUAGUCUAUACGAUGAAAGGUGUAAAAAUACGCUCUAGUGCUUCUCUCAUCAUAUCAUCAGCGCGCAUAUCUAAGGUCACCCACCAGUCAGAACCCCUCUAAUGGUCUGUGCGACUGGCAUGUCGGAACCCUCACAUGGUCUGUACGACAUCCACCUACUUGGAUCCAAGGCGAGCGUGCGGUGUGGUGAAUAAAAUAAGCACUAACACCUAGGGUGCAGGUUAUGAGCUUGAAACAUCUUAUCAACAAUCAAUUAAAUGAAUAAUGAACUCACCUGACUUACCUGUGCCUCCACAGCACCAUGCAACAUGUAUGCAUCAUAUAUCAAUCAUAUAACUCAUAUGAAAUUCACAUUUUCCAAAUAAUUCUAUGCAUGGCAUUUUCAAAACAUAAUUUCGUAUAAAUUCAUCUUCUGGGAAAAAUUAAUAGUAUAACGGUAAUACGAAAACAAAACUGCCCACUCACUGAUAAGUCGACGGGUCGUAACCCCCGUGGCGUCCCUGGAUGCGGUCGUCCUCGGGAUACGUCUCACCUAUAUGCGAAAUAAAUAUAAAACGUUAAUUUUAAACACAUCACCAAUAUUUCGAAAUAAUUUCUCAUACGAUGCUCAAUUUGGGUAUAUGAAUAUACCACAUCGACCUACUCGACGUCACGAGCGUCGAGAAAUUUUUAGAAACUGAUUUGGACUCCCCACGCGCCCUCACGCGCCGGCUAGAGCUCGGCUCUACGCGCAGGCCACGCGCAGCCACGCGCAGCACGUGUCAUCGUCUUCCCCAGGGUUCGCCGGACUGGUUUUUCCGGCGACCCAAUUCCGGCCAAACUUUAAACCUCUUGUUCUCCUUCGUUUUUCACCCAUUUUCUUCGUAUUUUAUACCAAAUUGAAGCCCUAAGAGUGUACUAUCACGUUGGACUAGUUUUAGGGUCUAAAAAUCAAGAAAUCUCACCGAGCAAAAUCCAAGAAUUCGGCCAACUUUGAAACCCACGAUCCCGACGUCCAAAUCCUUCAAACGAACGUCCCCGAGCUUCCUUAGGACCUCACUAAGCUUGCUAUAAGCUUGAAUUCCCCUGAAACACAACAUUUUACGUUCGCAUGAACAGUACCCAAAAAUGGAGGUUUCGGAUUCCACGUGAAAUCGAAGGUCUCACUUCCUAAAACUAGCACCAAUGAACUCAGGACGUCAAAAGGAUGAAGAUACAUACCUUAUUUGCCUCGAUCCGUCAAGUUUUGAAGGGUUUUGGUGGUGGUCCGUACGUGGAGGGUGAGGGAAAGAGAGAGAUCGUGAGGGAGAGAGACAGAGAGUGCUACGGGAGGGAGAGAAGACAGGGAGUGCGUGUGUGUGUGUGAUUGUGUGGUCCAACACAAUCCUCACCAUCCAUCCAAAUCCCUAACCACAAAAAUUUCAAUUCCAAUAGUUUAAUCCCAAAACUUAACAAAAUUAAUUCAGAUAAUGUCACACACACACGUACCCAAAUGUCCGCCAAGGGUAAUUACGUCAAUUCACGCCCCCGAUAUAGAAAUCCCAGGACGGGCUGUGACAAUCUCCCCUCCUUAUAGAAUUUCGUCCCCGAAAUUCCCACAAUCAAAUAACCACUUAGUACCCAUAAAAUAACCUUGGGUACAUCUCUCUCAUCCGAUCUUCCGUCUCCCAGGUAGCUUCCUCUGCAGAAUGGUUCCUCCACAACACCUUGACCAAACUCACCGUCUUGUUCCUUAGAACCUUAUCUUUCCAAUCCAAUAUAGUGACCGGUUCCUCAUCAUACGUCAAAUCCGGAUUAAUCUCUAACGGUUGAGGAGGGAUCACAUGAGAAGGAUCAGAAAUAUAAUGUCGAAGCAUGGAGACGUGGAACACAUUAUGGACCUUAGAUAACUCCGGAGGCAGCUCUAACCAGUAGGCAACUUCACCAACUCUUUCGGUGAUCACAUAAGGUCCAAUGUAUCUCGGACUUAGCUUUCCUCUUUUUCCAAAUCGAACCACACCUCUCCAAGGUGACAAUUUCAAAAACACCCAAUCACCCACAUCAUAUACUCGAUCAGUAGUAUGCCGAUCCGCUAAACUCUUCUGUCGAUCCUGAGCUGCUUUCAAGUUUGACUUAAUUACCUAAACAUUUUGAGUUGUCUCAUCCAUAAUCCCAGGGCCUUCUAACACCCUUUCACCAACCUCAGACCAACAUAAUGGUGUUCGACACGCCCUACCAUAAAGUGCCUCAAACGGAGACAUACCAAUGCUUGAGUGAAAACUGUUAUUAUAAGCAAACUCCAUCAAAUCUAGACGAUCAUGCCAGGAAUCACCAAAUUGUAACACCGAAGAUCUCAACAUAUCUUCCAACGUCUGGAUGGUCCUCUCUGAUUGCCCAUCAGUUUGAGGAUGAUAAGCUGUGCUAUACAGUAAUUGUGUACCCAGAGCUUCCUGAAAAGCCACCCAGAAUUUAGAAGUAAAUCUUGGGUCUCGGUCAGAGAUAAUAUUUACUGGAACUCCAUGAUACUUUACAAUCUUUGAAAUAAACAACUUAGCCAAUUUAUUCAGAGGGUAUUUCUCCCUCACUGGAAUGAAAUGCGCUGACUUGGUAAGUCGAUCUACAAUCACCCAAACGCCAUCAAAUCCAUUUCGGGUACGAGGAAGUUUAUACACGAAAUCCAUGGUUAUAUUUUCCCAUUUCCACUGGGGAACGGGAAGUGGCUGCAUUCGCCCAAAGGGCUUCUUUUCUUUCCGCUUUAACCUGCUGGCAAAUAAUACAUCUACUCACAUAAUCUGCAAUUUCUCUUUUCAUACCCGGCCAAUAAUAAAAUGGUCGAAUGGUAUGGUACAUUUUUGUUCCUCCCGGGUGCAUCGCAUAAGCUGAACAAUGUGCUUCAUCCAGAAUUUCCUUCUUCAAUUCCUCAUUAUUCGGAACAUACAUUCUGUUUUCUUGCAUGAGCAUACCAUCUGAUUCCCGAAUUCUGAGGUCUUUCUUUUUCCUUUCACUUCUUAACUGAACCAACUCCUGAAUUUCUUCAUCCACCAUCUGAGCUGCAAGUAUACGAUCCACCAAAACUGGCCUGACUUGAAAACUAGCAAGAAAAGCUCCAUCUCGGUUUUCAAAUUCCAACCUUACCCCCGUUGUCCUCAAUUCAGCAAGAAGAGGAACACGACUAGCAUAUAAGGCAUUAAGCCUACCUUGAGGUUUCCUACUCAGUGCAUCCGCUACCACAUUAGCACGACCUGGAUGAUACUCAAUAGUACAAUCAUAAUCACUUAACAAUUCCAUCCACCUUCGCUGACGAAGAUUAAGAUCAUGCUGAGUAAAUAAAUACUGAAGACUCUUGUGAUCAGUGAAAAUCUUACACUUCUCACCAUACAAAUAAUGCCUCCAAAUCUUUAAAGCAAAAACAAUUGCUGCCAAUUCAAGGUCGUGAGUAGGAUAAUUUCUUUCAUGAUUUUUCAAUUGCCUAGAAGCAUAGGCAAUCACCUUAUUAUGCUGCAUCAAAACACAUCCCAAACCAUUUAAUGAAGCAUCAUUAUAGAUCUCAAAAUUACCGCUAUCAUCAGGAAGUACCAACACCGGUGCAUGGGUGAGGCAAUACUUCAAUUGCUGAAAACUCCGCUCACAAUUCUCAUCCCACUCAAAUUUAACAUCCUUCCUGGUCAACUUUGUUAACGGUAAAGCAAUCAUGGAGAAAUCCUGAACGAACCGUCGAUAAUAACCUGCUAAACCCAGAAAACUGCGUACCUCAGUGACGGUUCGAGGUUGCUCCCAAUUCUCCACCGCUGCUAUCUUUUGAAGAUCAACUUGAAUUCCUUGAGCCGAUACAACAUGCCCCAAAAAUGCCACUUCGGACAACCAAAACUGACAUUUACUGAACUUGGCAUACAACUGAUGCUCCCUUAAUUUCCUUAACACCAAAUUAAGGUGUCGGAUAUGAUCUGCUUGGGAUUUAGAGUAUACCAGAAUAUCAUCAAUAAAAACAAUAACAAAUUUAUCAAGAUAUUUCUGGAAUACCUCAUUCAUCAAUCUUAUAAAAGCUGCAGGUGCAUUAGUCAACCCAAACGGCAUAACCAAAAAUUCAUAAUGUCCAUACCGAGUCCGGAAGGCCGUCUUAGGUACAUCAUCUUCCUUAAUCUUCAAUUGGUAAUACCCAGAUCUCAAAUCAAUCUUAGAAAAUACACACGCACCUUUCAGUUGAUCAAACAAAUCAUCAAUAUGAGGCAAUGGAUAACGGUUUUUAAUCGUUACCCGGUUCAAUUGCCUAUAAUCAAUACACAAUCGCAGAGUUCCAUCCUUCUUCCUCACAAAUAAUACUGGGGCACCCCAAGGUGAAGAACUAGGUUGAAUAAAACCCUUAUCAAGUAAUUCUUGCAACUGGAUUUUUAAUUCUCUCAACUCAGCAGGAGCCAUUCUAUAAGGAGUCAGAGAUAUAGGGUCCGUACCUGGAAGCAAAUCAAUAGUGAAUUCCACCUCCCUGUCUGGUGGCAAUCCCGGCAAAUCAUCAGGGAAUACGUCCGGAUAAUGUCUGACCACACCAACUUCUUCUAUACUAGUGGGGGCAACCUCAUUUAACACCACAUGCGCCAAAUAUCCCUGACAACCCUUCGAUAACAAUUUCCUCGCCCUUAAGGCAGAAAUAACCCCAUGUCUCACCCCACUUCUCUCGCCCACAAAAGUAACCUCGGGUAAUCCAGGACGAUAAAAAGUAACUGAUUUACCAUAACAAUCAAUAUGGGCACGAUUAUGGUGUAACCAAUCAGCCCCUAAGAUUACAUCAAAAUCCACAAUAUCUAACGGAAUAAGAUCAGCGGACAUAAUCAUGCCCUCAACCAUCACUGGACACCCAAGAUACACACUAUCCACAUAACAUUUAUCUCCUCUAGGCAUGGCAAACUCUAAAUCAAAUCCUAGAGGUGAAGGGUGAGGUUGGGUCAUUUGAGCAAACGUAUGAGAAAUCACAGAGUGCGUAGCACCACAAUCAAUCAAAACCUUAGCAAAAUGACCAAGAACAUUUAACGUACCCAUGAUCAAGUCUGGAUGGUUCUGAGCCUCCUGCAGAGAAAUAUGAUUAACUUGUCCCUGAGCUUGCUGACGUCCACCUCGGCCUCUACUGCCCUGAUUACCUCGUCCCUGAGGAUUACGCCCCUAGCCUGGCUGACUAGGCUGCCUGGAUGAUCCUGCCCCACCAGUAGCAACUUCCCCCUGACGGGGCUGGCCUCCCUGAUGCCAUUGCGAUCCACCAACUGGCAUAGAGGAAUAAGAUGAAUAACCUCCAAAAUCCUGAGAAUACCCAGCCUGAGAAUGAGGCUCCUGGGAAUACUGAUAAGGUCCGGGAGCAUACGGAGCAGCAUCCCCCUGAUAGUGGUAGGCACCACCACGACUCGGCUGGCCAUAACCGCCUGAUCCAAAACUCUGCUGAACUGGUGCUGGAGGUGGCAUAGUGGUCUGUUGCGGUCUCUGCUGACCCUGGGGGCACUGAGAAGCCCGAUGUCCCAUCUGCCCACACGUAAAACAAGCACCAGUACCUCUCCUACACUCACCAUGGUGACGGAAGUUACAACGGCGGCACCAUGGAGCGCCAGAUCCACCAGCACCACCUGAAUCCCUCUGACCCUGAAACCUGGGUCCACCAGAAAAUCUUCCACCACCUCUCAUCGGGCCAGUAAAACUAUAUCCCCCACUAGAAGAACUCGAACUCGCUCCACUCUUCUUAAAAUUCUGUGUCUGCCAAGGUCCCGGAAUGGAGAUACCCUUACCUUUAUCAUUCUUCUUCUGACCCUCAUUCUUGUCCUCAUCAUCCUCACUGUCAGGAAGAUUAUCAGAGUCCUCCAUCCUAACCAAAAUCUCGAAAUACUCAUGAUAAUCAGCGCAAGGAAGUGCAUUGGCAAAGGUACGCCACUUCUUCUUAGAUCCCAACUUGAAACGUCGAAGCAUCUCUCCCUGAUUACCAGCUAUAUCAGGGUCAUAACGAGACAAAUCAGUAAACCUUCUAUAAUAUUCAUGUGCCGACAUAUUUCUCUAUUUCAACCUGGUGAAUUCCUGUUUCUUACGAUCAAUAUACUCAGGAGGGACGAAUCUCUUCAUAAAAUUCUCUUUGAACACUUUCCAGUCGGCUGCCGUCUCAGGUGACAUGUACCUAGUCUGAUUCAUCCACCAUGCUGCUGGUUCAUGACCCAAAAACCAAGUGGUGGUCUCCACCCACCUAUUAGCAGGGAGAUUCCCCUGACUCUGCAUCACCUGGAAAGUCUUCUCAAUAUGAUCUAGCCGUUUCUCUGCCCCCUCAUGACUUUCAUUACCCAUAAACCGAUCUAACUUCAAGUUGUACAUGGUCUCCAGAGGUGUCCUCGGAGGAGGGGGAGGACGAAUCACAUUCUGUAAAGCCUGGGCCAUCGCUUCCCCUAGCUGAGUAAUAUCCAGGAAAUUAGGUUCAGAAGUACGGCGGGACUCCCUACGCUCCCUACGAGGCGGCAUGAUUCUGACAGAAAACAUCAAAAGAUCGUUAAGACAUUAACAAAUUUACAGGACUGCAACCUAAGCUCUGAUACCAAACUGACACACCCCGAUCCGGAGGAUCCAGGUGUGCUGGCCGUCACGUGGGCGUGACGUAACCAUCGGCGCGACACGGAAGCAAAAUAACAAUAUAACUCAGCAGAAAUUCAAACCAAACUCAAACAUAACCACCUACGAACAUAACCGGACGAGUUAUCAGGUAAACACAUAAGUUCAGAGCAUAGGUUAACUGCAGUCAAGUAGGUCUAAAAUAAAAUACAUCACCCUCAGGUGAGUCCUACAUGUCGAAGGUCUGUCAGAAAGCCGGAAAAGACCUCGAGAGCCACCAACCGCUAAUUUAGAACCUGGAGGGGCGCAAAACAAAAUGAGUGGGUCAGUAAAACCAAAGAUUUUCCAAAACAUUUCAAUUAAAACAUUUCUAACCCCUCACCGUAAAACCUGUAUACAUUCUCCAGAAAAAGUAGAUAUAUAUAUAAAACCAUAUGAAGUCUCAAAAACUUAAAUCCCAAAUCUUUAACAUUUUUCAAGGAAACAUGCCAUGCAAUAAAUCAAAAUAUAAAUCAGGUGAAAUAAGGAAUCAAUCGGAGACCCUGCAGUUGGUCCUAUACGAUUAAUUCAACAGCUCAAUAUCCCACUAAGCUGGAGCCACCACAGUGACCUAUACGGCCCUACUCUGCACAUCACUCGGAACUACGUGAGGUAGUCUAUACGAUGAAAGGUGUAAAAAUACGCUCUAGUGCUUCUCUCAUCAUAUCAUCAGCGCGCAUAUCUAAGGUCACCCACCAGUCAGAACCCCUCUAAUGGUCUGUGCGACUGGCAUGUCGGAACCCUCACAUGGUCUGUACGACAUCCACCUACUUGGAUCCAAGGCGAGCGUGCGGUGUGGUGAAUAAAAUAAGCACUAACACCUAGGGUGCAGGUUAUGAGCUUGAAACAUCUUAUCAACAAUCAAUUAAAUGAAUAAUGAACUUACCUGACUUACCUGUGCCUCCACAGCACCAUGCAACAUGUAUGCAUCAUAUAUCAAUCAUAUAACUCAUAUGAAAUUCACAUUUUCCAAAUAAUUCUAUGCAUGGCAUUUUCAAAACAUAAUUUCGUAUAAAUUCAUCUUCUGGGAAAAAUUAAUAGUAUAAAGGUAAUACGAAAACAAAACUGCCCACUCACUGAUAAGUCGACGGGUCGUAACCCCCGUGGCGUCCCUGGAUGCGGUCGUCCUCGGGAUACGUCUCACCUAUAUGCGAAAUAACUAUAAAAACGUUAAUUUUAAACACAUCACCAAUAUUUCGAAAUAAUUUCUCAUACGAUGCUCAAUUUGGGUAUAUGAAUAUACCACAUCGACCUACUCGACGUCACGAGCGUCGAGAAAUUUUUAGAAACUGAUUUGGACUCCCCACGCGCCCUCACGCGCCGGCUAGAGCUCGGCUCUACGCGCAGGCCACGCGCAGCCACGCGCGGCACGUGUCAUCGUCUUCCCCAGGGUUUGCCGGACUGGUUUUUCCGGCGACCCAAUUCCGGCCAAACUUUAAACCUCUUGUUCUCCUUCGUUUUUCACCCAUUUUCUUCGUAUUUUAUACCAAAUUGAAGCCCUAAGAGUGUACUAUCACGUUGGACUAGUUUUAGGGUCUAAAAAUCAAGAAAUCUCACCGAGCAAAAUCCAAGAAUUCGGCCAACUUUGAAACCCACGAUCCCGACGUCCAAAUCCUUCAAACGAACGUCCCCGAGCUUCCUUAGGACCUCACUAAGCUUGCUAUAAGCUUGAAUUCCCCUGAAACACAACAUUUUACGUUCGCAUGAACAGUACCCAAAAAUGGAGGUUUCGGAUUCCACGUGAAAUCGAAGGUCUCACUUCCUAAAACUAGCACCAAUGAACUCAGGACGUCAAAAGGAUGAAGAUACAUACCUUAUUUGCCUCGAUCCGUCAAGUUUUGAAGGGUUUUGGUGGUGGUCCGUACGUGGAGGGUGAGGGAAAGAGAGAGAUCGUGAGGGAGAGAGACAGAGAGUGCUACGGGAGGGAGAGAAGACAGGGAGUGCGUGUGUGUGUGAUUGUGUGGUCCAACACAAUCCUCACCAUCCAUCCAAAUCCCUAACCAAAAAAAUUCCAAUUCCAAUAGUUUAAUCCCAAAACUUACAAAAUUAAUUCAGAUAAUGUCACACACACACGUACCCAAAUGGCCGUCAAGGGUAAUUACGUCAAUUCACGCCCCCGAUAUAGAAAUCCCGGGACGGGCUGUGACAAAAGUCUUUAUCAUUAAUAUAUUUACUUAAUAUAAGUUGUAAAUUAUGAUCUAUCAAGUUUACUCUAAGAUUACAUCCUUUAAAACCAUCUUUAGUGGACCAUAAGUGCAACCAAUUCGACAUUGAUAACCUUUUCGUUUUGUAAAGCAAUGAAAGAUUCAUCAUCGAAUCGGAAUCUUGUUCACAAUGAAAUGUUGGGGUCAGGGUUUGUUCACAAUUGAAACGGUAAUAAGGUCAUGUCGGGUCAAGGGAAACCCGCAGUGAUACCAACACAGCAGAGUCAAGUAAGCGGCCAACUACUAAUUACAAAUAAAACUUUCUCAACUUAAUUACAUGCACAGUCCAACAUAUGUUGAAUUCUAUCCAAAAAAAUUAUGAUGCAAAAAGUGAAGUCAUUCAAUACACGUAAUUUAACUGCUUUGAUUGGCUAGCAAUAAUAUGAUUCAAUCAGUUGUUCAUUAAAUAUUAUUUUCUCUAUUCUAAAUGUAAAUUCAACUGCUUUGAUUGGUUUGUGAGGGGUUUUUUCUAGCAAGAUCUAAGAUUAUUUAUUUACUUCAAAUAUUUGACUUUCCGUUUGUCAAUUCACGCAUAUAAAUACGUUUACAAUAUGUAAAUCACUCGAAAUACGCCGUGAUUCAAAAAAUAUCUUCUGCACGCUCGUGAGCGUGUGCAUGAAGGCUAGUAAAAAUAAAAGACAACAUAUUUUCCAAGAAAAAUUUAACCCUUUGAAUUUCCAAAUUUCUCCUUGAGAAUGAUCAUAAUCUUUGACAAAUCAUAGGGAAAUUUGAUCAAGAAAACGUCCCAAUGAAUUGUAAGAGGAGCCACCAACCAUCAGGGCUUUCUUGCUCUUCUCACUCAUGUCCUUCACCCUCUUCCUCACAUCACUAUCCUUCUCCAUCAACUCCUUUAUCCCUCGCUCUAGUUCAUGUGCCUUCACAACAUUUGGGUACUCACCGUACAAGUCCCUCCUAUACUCCAUAUUAACUUCCACCGCCAAUCCUAAUUCCCUCACCAACUCAAAUGCAUUUAGUUGUUGCUCCGCGUACACCGGCCAAGCUGCGACCGGCACGCCAAACCAUAGGCUCUCCAACGUGGAAUUCCACCCGCAAUGGGACACGAACCCUCCGACGGCCGGGUGGGCUAGGAUCGCCACUUGCGGAGCCCAACCUAUGACCUUCCCAAUCCCAGCUGUCCGAUCGAGGAAUCCUUCAGGUAGGACUGCCUUAGGAUCCGAAUAGUCACUAGGGGAAGCGAUAAUCCCCUUUGGUGGGGGCUGGCGCAGCGACCACAAGAAGCGAUGCCCGCUCUGCUCCAGCCCCGAUGCUAUCUCCCUCACCUGGUCCUCACCAAAGCUUCCCAUGCUCCCAAAGCACAGGAACACCACAGAUGAAUCGGGCUGCUCAUCUAGCCACUCCAAUAUAUCCGACUUCUGCUGAGCCUGCUUCGAACCCACCUCGGUUUCACUGAUCUUUAGGUUCAGAAUAGGUCCCACAGGGUACACAGGUGGGGUCUUACCAUCAGAAAGUGAAUCAAGGGCGUGUGAUUCCAACUCAACGAACGUAUUUAUCAGAAUACCCUUGAGUUCUCUAAACCUGUUGGCAUAGCCAAGGAAAGCUUUCGCACCAUCCUUGUCCAAAAGGACGCUUGGCAAAACUCCAGCCGGAACCGAGUCGACAAAAGUUGGCAGUGUCAACUCAGCAUCCGAGCCCUUGAACUCGCUUACGUGCUUGCCAUACACGUCGCGAAUCGUUUGGAUAUUAAGUACCAGCCCGAGAAACCCGGCCGGCGAAGUGAAGAACAUGUACGUAGGAACUCCGAAAUCAUUGGCCACGUCGACCAUUGUCGUGCAAACCAUGUCGAUGACAAACCCGGCAACCCGAGUCGACUCGGACUCUGACUCGGCGAGUUUGGAGACAGCAUCUUUGACGUAGGGUUUGUGGCUCUCGACGAAUUUGCUGCGGAAGGCGUUGGGACUUUUGCGCGUGUCGAUGUCGGAGGCGGCCUGUGGGAGGGUGAUGAAGUUGACACGUGACAACACGGGAGAGGAUUCGAGGGAGGAUAUGUAGGCCUCUGUACCCUUGGAUUCGAAGGGGAGCUUCAUGAUGAGGACUGUGAUGAAGAGUUUCUCGUCUCGAGAGACAAGGAGCUUUGCCAUCUCCACGGCGGAGAUGAGGUGGCCGGUGCCGGCAUAGGGGAUGAAGACGAGUUUCAUUGGUUGCUUCAUUUGGAAAUUUAUUAGGAGUUUGAUAGCUUUGGAGGAAAUGAAAAUUUAAUUAGCUGAUUGAUGUACAAGCUUCUUUUCUUUUAGAUGUGUGUCUGUGUAUGUAUAUACUAUAUAUAUACACAGAUAAAUAUAUACUCACUCUCACACACACACACACAUUAUGGAUGUAAAUGAUGGAGGUGAUGAUCUCAUGCCUUUGCUGGCAUUGGUUAAAUUGUUUAGUUAAUUCGCAGGAUAUUUAUAACAAAGACUUGGAAACCAAGAAAAGGACCUUUGGGGUUCAGAGAAAGUUUCAUGCAUGCCUCUUGGCCACAAAUUACGGAAGAGAAAUUGGAGUAGUGAUCACGGGAAUAGAUAAGUUGUGUGAAUAUUCGAGAAAAAUUAUUAAUAAAAUAAUACGAUAAAUUCUGUAAAUGUUGGAUAGAACCAAGGAACAAAAUGCCGCCGAUAUUAUCGGUUUUUCACAAUACCAAUAUUUUAAUAGGUAUCCAACGGGUUUUCGUCAAAAUAUCGCGAUAUUAUUGAUAAUAUCGAUAAUAUCGCGAUAUUUCCGAAACUAUCGCGAUAUUUUGGAACUGUGCUACUCGGAGAAGAACUGGAGAAGAACGCCGGAGCUUCUACAGCUUCGGCCGACUGUAAAAGAGCACCCUAGACACCGAUCUAGGUAUCAAAAUGAAAUAGAAGACGAGAUGAAUGUUUUUAUAAAUUCUGUUUGCCGUGAAACAGUCGGAGGUGUUUAGAAAGUUCGUCAACACCCACGACCUCGCCGGAGAUGGGUGUGCCUAUUCCCGAGCCGAUUUCGUCCCAAAAACCUUGCAAAAACACAAUUUUGAACUUAAAUUUCACAUAUAAGCUUCAACUAGAACAGAAAGAGGCAAACCCGAAGCUUACCUAACCGGAGAAAUUCAAGAACCUCGCCGAAGUUCCUACGUUCGCCGAGUUGCAGAGACGAGAAGGAGAGGGAGAAAGACAAGGUUGCUAAUGAUGAUGGGUGUCUUCCUGAAGCAGGUGCGAUGGUGUGCGUGUGUGUAUGUGGGUCUCGGACCCUCGGUGCAGAGAGAAAAGAGAGAGACAGUGCCGACGAGGGAGGAGCAGAAGGCGAUGUGGGAGAAGGAUCGAGAGACCUUGGGUCUUUGUGCAUGUGUGUGGGAGAAGGAUCGAGAGACCUUGGGUCUCUGUGCAUGUGUGUAGGAAAUCUGUGUGUGUGUGUGGGAGAAUGGAGAAGGGAGAUCAGAGAAGAGAGAAGGAUGGAGAGAGAGAGACUGUGUGCAUGUGUUGUGUUGUGUUGUGUGCGUGUGUUGUGUUAUGUGCGUGUGUGGUGGCGUGUCGGUGUGUGUGUGUGGUUGGGUCAUCUGACUCACACUCACCUGACAACUUUUACAAUCACUUUUUACAAUUUCAGACCAUGGACAAAAAUAAUAGUGCUUUCAUAAUGAAACUGUGUGCCAUUGUGAGUUUGUGAUAUUCUUUCACAUUCAAAACCGUGUGCCACUGUGAGUCUGUGAUAUUCUUUCACAUUCUCAGAGGUGGAGUAUCAGAGCCAUUCAGAGCAUUUUCGUUUCUUCUUCUUCCCUUACCCCUUUCAAAGUCAUUCCAGAUCCAUUCCAGAGCUUGAACACAAAGGUUCCAUAUUUAAAGUAAGUUUACAAACUUAUAUUUAUAUUAUUGUAAUUUAUACAACAACAAAAAAAUUUGUAUGGACUCGUAUGUUAAUUUUUUUAAGUAAUUAAGUAAUGUUGUAUAAUUAUUCCCUAGGAUAAUUUUAAUAUGUUUAAUGUUAUUUAUUAUUUUAUUAAUAUUAGGUUUGAUUAUCAAAUUGGAUUAUUAUUCAUUAAUAUUAGGUUUUUUAGUUAUCAAAUUGGAUUAUUAUUCAUUAAAUUGGAUUAUUAUCAAUCUUCAAAUGAUUUUGCUUAUGGACAAGGUCAACCAAUCUCGGAUCCAUAUGGGUGACAUGUUAACAAUUACAUGCAAAACUAUUUUGGGGAUUUAUCAUUUGAUAACUACUAUUCACAAUACACUCACUCUACACAUAGAGAUGAUGAAGAUAGUGAAAAAUUUGAACCUCAUAGGAACUCUAUGUGGUACUAAGUCACUCAUGUAUCUUACCAUGCAAUGUAUAAAGUAUAAAAUAUUGUACUAAUUAAUUAUAUAUAAAUGAUUAUGGUGUGUUUAAACUUCUUUCAUUAAUUACUACAUAUUUUCUACACUCACAAUGUUUGCCAGCUCGCUAUAUAAUCAACUUGAUAAUGUUAAAUUCAUCAUGCAAUGCAUUUCCUUCCAAUUUUUUUUGAUAAACUAAUAGAUAAUUGACUAAAUAAACAUCCUGCAAAGUUUCAAUAAAAAUUUCCAAGUUUUUCUUACAAUUUCCGUGGUUUCCAUAUUAUUUUUAUCGAUAUCGAUAUUAUCCCGAUAUUUCCAUCGAUAUUUCUGUGUUUUCGGACUACCGAUAUUUCCGAUAUCAUCGAUAUUUAAUACCUUGGAUAGAACGGGAGAGUUCUUUGUUUUGAAAUCCAACUACAUAAUAUAUAUUUUAAGACUAUCCAAAUUAAAAAUAAAAACUCAAAAAUAAAUCGGAUAGAACGGGAGAGUUCUUUGUUUUGAAAUCCAACUACAUAAUAUAUAUUUUAAGACUAUCCAAAUUAAAAAUAAAAACUCAAAAAUAAAUCGACGACUUGUAGUAGGACUUAUAUAAUAGAGGUGUACCCUAAUAAUUACUUUUAUUUAUUUUUUUAUGAACCAACGUUAUUAUCUACAUUAAAGGGGAGAGAGAGUAGGCUUAAAGUUCACAAUAGACUAUCAAUAUUAUAGUUCAAAUUUAUCUUUAGCAAGAAUCGAAUCUAAAAACUAUCACUUAUAAAUAAAAAAGAAUAUCACUAAACCGUAGUACGAAGUGAUUAAUAAUCAUUUUUUAAUAGUUACAGAAAACAUAAUAUUUCUAACAUUACUCGUCAAUCGAACGGACUUAAGUUGAAUUCAUUUUUAGGCAACUUUUUUCUUUUUAAUAUGCUUUAUUUCUCCAUCCUCACUUCCACGAGCUUAUUCUUCUUCGUUCAAUAUUUUUCUUAUAUACAUUUCCAAUAUUUUAAAUGGAAUUAAUAAAGAAAGACGCAAUGACCUGAGCUGUAAAAGAACAAAUUUGCUUUUUGACCUGGGGGAGUCGUAGCCGACAAGAAUACUGCAGUCUGAAGAAAAAGACAGAUUCCGAAAGCUGACCCGGCAUGCACCUUCCACCUCGUAAUCUAUUUCUUUUUCUUCUUUCUUUAUUUGAACUAUUAUGAUUUAAUCACGUUAAUAUUUAAUAUUAAUUUUUUUAUAAAUAUAAUAAGAUAAAAAAAUAAUAUGACGUUAAUAUUUAAUAUUAAUUUUUUUAUAAAUAUAAUAAAACAAAAAAUAAUAUGUAUGAGAAGAAGAGGAAAAAAGAUAAGAAUAGAAGGAAAGUAGUAAUUAUAUAGACAUAUUGAGGAAACAACGGAGCAUGCAUAUUUAUGACUCCCUUGCCACGUGGUAUCUUACUAUGUUAGUGAUUUCCGCACUCCCUGUUUUUUAAAUUUACACUCUUUCGUUUGGAUUUUUCUUUUAUUUCCUACAGAAGGAGGUCUGAAAGAGGUGUGGAAAUUGCUCCCGAUAAUGUGCACGUCGAUUAAAAUGGAAAUUAAAAACUGCUCAUUGGACUUUGCAUACUAAGAAAUCAUUGGACAAAGAAAUCAUUGGACUUUUGAUUUGUUAUUAUGCUGCUGCACUAAUUAGUCACAGGAAGAUCUGAUCAAUGAAACGGUCCAAUGAUGAGUGUGAGGAACCACCAUCCAUCAACGCUCUCCUGCUCUUGUCACUCAUCUCCUUCACCUUCUUCCUCUGCUCACUCUCAACCUCCAUCACCUCCCUUAUCCCUCUCUCUAUCUCCUCCGCCCUCACCACCACCUCCCCUUCCCUCCUGUAAUCCAUCUUAAUCUCCACCGCCAGUCCCAACUCCCUCACCAGCUCAAACGCAUUCAACUGCUGCUCCACGUACAUUGGCCAAGCCGCAACUGGCACCCCGUACCAGAGACUCUCUAGGGUUGAAUUCCACCCCCAAUGGGACACGAACCCACCCACCGAUGGAUGGCCCAAGACCGCAACUUGCGGGGCCCAUCCUAUGACCUUCCCUGUCCCGGCCGUGCGGUCGAGGAACCCUUGGGGCAGGACUCCGCUGGGAUCAGCAUAAUCACUGGCGAAUGGAAGCUCCCCCUUUGGCGGGGGCUGGCGUAGGGACCACAAGAAUCGGAGGCCGCAGUGCUCAAGCGCGGCGGCUAUCUCCUUCACUUGGUCCCCACCAAAGCAUCCCAUGCUCCCAAAGCACAGGAACACCACCGACAAAGGAGGUUGAUCAUCAAGCCACUCCAGAAUUUCCUUCUUUUUGGCCAGCUCCGAGCCUUCAGGGUCACUCUUCAAGUUCAGUAUGGGCCCUACAGGGUACAGCGACGGGGUUUUGCAGUCGGUAAGAGCUCCGCGGCCGUGGGAUUCUAGCUCCAUGAAGGUGUUUACCAAAAUCCCCUUGGUUUCUCUGAACCUUCUGGCAUGGUUGAUGAACUCUGUGGCGCUAUCCUUGUCCAGAUACAUGCCAGGCAAGACUCUAGCAGGCAUUGGGUUGACAAGACACGGCAAAACCAAAUCAGGAUCCGAUUCCUUCAGCUCAGUGCAGUCCUUGUUCUGCUCGUCAUGAAGGGUUUGGAGGUGGAGCACAAGCCCGAGAAAGCCUGCGCCGGACGUGAAGAAGACGUAGGUAGGAACCCCAAACUCAUUGGCCACGUCUAUCAUGGUGGUGCAGAACAUGUCGAUGACAAACCCGACUAGACUGGGCUUGCAAUCAGACUGAAGGGCCUCACUAGUGAGCUUCGCGACUGCAUCUCUGACGUGUUGUUUGUGAUUUUCAACGAAUAGCUUCAGGAAGAGGCGGGUCUUAAUACCCUUCGUCUCUACGGCUUCCUCCGGGAGGUUGAUGAACCUGAUACGUUCGGCGUCGUCAGCACCCUUGAGCUUCAACUUGGACUCCAAGGGCAGCUUCAUGGUGAGCACUGUGAUGAAAAGCCGGUCGUCUCGAACAACUAAGAGCUUUGCGAUCUCGAACGAGGACGCAAGAUGGCCAAUACCUAUGGCAGGAAUGAACACUAGCUCUCUCUCUCUCUCUCUCUAUAUAUAUAUAUUACACGUAAGUAUGUAUGUGUAUACAUAUCGAAGCAUGCACAUGGAUUGUGGUGUUUUAUAUAACAAAUAUAAACCACUCACAAUUCUUGGAGCUUUCCCUUGGCCCAACCACGAAAGGACGUACAAAGCUUUCAUGUUAUCUUUUUAGUAACGACAGUGCCGGUGACCUUUUGAGGUGAUAAAUCCUGCAUUGCCACACACAUAACGAUGUUUAUAUGUAUAUGGUGUACGUAAUGAAAUCGGUUUCUUCCGUAAGGGAAAAAGGAGAAGCACCAAAGUAUAUUUAAGUAGAAAGUUGGAAAGGAAAAUCUCCAUACGGCUCAACAAAGUUAAAAUAAGCAAAAGCAUUUUUUUAAGUCUUGGCAGCAACGAAAACUUAGUAGAAGAUACUACAAUCAGAUUAUUGUAUAUAAAUGAACCUUUUGUCUGACAAGAAUAUGGAUCGUAAUAAAAAGUUAAAAAGAAAGAUAGGAUCAUAAAAUAAUCAUGAAAAUUAGAGCUUUUACGUGUUGUAUCAGGGAACCCAACGAGAUUCGGAAAAGAAAGUGGAACAGAAUAAACAGAGAAGAAUACCUAGUGAAAGGACUUCCUCCCAUUUCUGCACAGAGGAAAAUGUCCGUCUGCAGCUACAGCACUAGAACUUCCCUUCAAUGGGCAGGGCACAACGGAGCUGUCUGUUUUAGUUUUUGAUGGAGAUUUCCGCGGCCAGAUGCGGUUUCCUCAUGUGCCCUGUAACAUGACCAAAUUACAGAUUUUCUUUCACAGAAUUAUAACCAAUUUAACCUUCAAAAGAACGAAAAGUUUAAUAUUUUCCUCAUUCAUGACUGUAUGUGACUCAGUAAACGUGAGAGCGUAUAUACGUAGUUCACUUUAACAAUAUACAUAUCAGGAAAGUAUAAGACUGCAAGGUAACAUAUGAUAUACUGGCCUUAUGACUCUCUAUCUUAUCCACUGCAGAGAACACAUUACUGAACUCCAUAGCAAACAUAUGAUGGCCUUGAUGGGAAAUAUAUCCCAUGCUGCAAAUUCACAUUUAUAUACUUACUACCAGUUUAGCAAGCAUCCUUCCUAAAUUAUUAUUGCCCAACCAAUUCUAAAAAUUAUUAUUGCCUGCUUCACAACUUCCAUAUAGAAUCCAGAUGGCAUAUUCCAUAUUUGGGUUGUUGUACGAAAGCGACAGAUAUGAGAUCAAUACAUAAGCAAGGCAAAGUUUGAUAAAUACUGAAAUCCAAAUAACCCAAGGAUUUAUACUAUAGUUGAGAAUAAGCCUACGUUUAGUUUGGAGACGGCAAGGAAAUUCCAGUAAUAAGAAAGGGGAUUACAAAAGUGUUUUACAUCACAAACCCAAAUCCCACAUGCACCCAAGCUUACAUAAUGUGGACCCAAAAGUAAAGGAACUAUGUCCUACAUCAUUACAUAUUCAUCAGUGUUUUGCCUCUGCCAAUACAAAGCUUCCAUACACUGAUGAACAACACAAGUUACUUUGGGUGUAGUACCAAUAAGUAGACUCUUAUUCAACCACUUCUUAGCUGCUCUCGGUGCACAAUUAAAUGCAUAUAAACUAGUGUGUUAGAGAAGUCAAAUAAAAGAAAAUCAGUGUACCUUAGGAAGUCAUAUUGAAUGGGCAGAUAGUAGAUACCAGCCUUACAAACAUAGGUGACGUGAGUGAUUUAAAGCUAAGUAACAAAUUCAACCAUAGCCAAUUAGUCAGCAAAGCCACAUAAAUAUUGCUUAUAAUAGCCUUCAUGGGGAGACACAGCACAAAACAUUAAGAUUUUCAAGAGUUCUAAGUAGAUCAACCAAUAUAAUACGACAAUACGAGUCACCCACGAGUAAGCCAAAUGGAAGAAAAUAAACUACUCGUGCAGGGUAUUCCAUGAAGAUCAAAGUAUCAUUAACUAAGCAUGGCCAUGCGCAACACUAUAUACAGAAAUCAUGCUUUUUUAACUGACCUGAAUAUAUGUAUGAGGCGUCUUUGAGAUGGCAGCUUAUUAACUUGCUAUGGCUCAACCGCUAGUGUCCAAAGUUCACUCUCAAAGACCAUGGGGACAGAUUUAAGCGCCAUCUAAAAAGAAUAUAACUUAGACAACUGCUGACCCGCACCAAAAGCUAAAUUAGCAAGAAAGUAGAUUCCAGCUGCAGAUACAAACAUCACGAUACAUCACAUAAACCUAAGAUGAAGCUAAACUCAAUAAAAAGACAUGCCCACUGACUUGCCAGAAACCAGCCAGUCUAGUUUUAGGAAAAUUCCCCCUUUUAAUCCAGUCCUUAACUAUGUAUUUUUAGGAAUCUUGAGAAAAUGCAUAUCUUAGACGAUUAAAAUUGGAUCGACAAUCACAAACGAUAAACUUACAUGAAGGGCAGUUUUCCAUGGAUAGAUAGUUCUUGUUAUGAUCCUGCAAAGGAGUUGCGGAUGCUGCAAUGCGAGCAUCGAAUGGUGGAUAAUUUGCAUGCAGACUUGUCAAAAUAGUUUACCACAUUGAAUGACACCACAAGCUGAAAAGAUCUUCUUUCAAGAAUUCUUCAUCAGUCAUAAGGUUCCAAGAUUGCAUCGAAGGAAGAAUUGAGAGAAGGCCUAUAACCAGUAUCUUUCAUCUUCACAGUCAAUUCCUCCAAUAUAUCAUAUAUCUCAUCACCCUGAGGAUGGUUUUGGUUCCUAGAUACGAAACAGUUCAAAAAACCGCUAAUAUCAAUCCAACUACAUCCAGUCUCCUUCCUCAAACCUUUUUCCCUCAUUUGUUUCCUCACAUUAUCCACGUUUUCCCACUUGCCUUCCUCGGCAUACAUAUUUGAGAGUAAAACAUGGUAGCCCCUUUUGCCAUUUGCUGCCUCUAGUUCAAGCAAUUUCCCAGCAACAAUCUUUCCCAAUUCAAAAUGUUUAUGAAUUCUGCACGCCCCAAGAAGUGAGCCCCAAAUUUCCAUCGCAUCACCCUCUUCGCCCAACCCUUUGACAAACUCGUAGGCUCAACCAUUCUCCCAACCCUCCCUAACAUGUCUGCUAUACAGCAAUAGUGUGCCGUUAGUGGUUUAAUAUUGUAUUCCCUUUUCAUUGAAUCAUAUAUCAAAAGACCUUCGUUAACCAAACCAGCAUAACUGCAGGCAGACAAGACUGCAACAAAGGUUAUGGCAUCAGGUGCAAUGCCAGAUUUCUGCAUUGAGUGAAACAAAGAGAGAGCUCUCUCACCCACUCCAUGCUGACCGUAGCCCAGUAUCAUUGUGGUAUAUGUGACAGAGUUCUUCUCAUGGGAUCCAGCGAAAACAUUUUCAGCAUAAGUGACUGCACCACAUUUGGAAUACAUGUCAAUUAGAGCAGAUCCCACGAAGACGUUUUGGGCAAGGUAGUGGCGGAUAGAGAACCCAUGGAGUUGCUUACCCAUAUCUAUGUUUCCCACUAUAUUACAAGCUGGGAGAACCGAUGCUAAGGUCACAGCAUUUGGGAUUAGAUUUUGCUCAAGCAUCUGCCUAAAGACAAAGAAAGCUUCUUCAGAUAGCCCAUUCUGUGUGUACCCAGCAAUCAUAGAAUUCCAAGUAGCCUGAUCUCUAUCACGGCUGUAGUCUUUUUUGAAAACCCGUUCUGCGAUCCUUACUGAGCCAGAUUUAGCAUACAUAUCGAUGAGAUAACUGUCCAUCCCCUCAAAUUGUAUGUCAUGCCUAAUAAGAUAAGCAUGAGUCUGCUUUCCAAUAUCUGGAUUUCUAAGAUUUGAUGAAGCCGAAAGUAGAGCAGUUACAGUUACCGAAUCAAUCAUGAACCUUUGCUUUUGCAUCUCAUAAACAAGCAUCAAAGCUUCAUCAUCUAAACCAUUUUGCACGAAUGCAGAAAUCAUAGUAUUCCAUGAAACAACAUCCCUCUCAGGCAUCUUAUGAAAAAUUUUGAAUGACAUGUCAACAGAAUUGCACCUUGAAUACAUUACGAUAGUCGCAUUGAGUAAAAUAACGGGCAUCGAUCUCAAAUGCUUGAUGAUAAAAGCAUGCAGCUGUCCAGCUAAUUCCAACUGUUGCAUCUGUGAACAUGCAGUUAAAACUGAUAGGAAAGUCACCUCAUCAAGAAUAGCCACUUCUGAGUUUACAGCUUGAAAGAAGAGGUCGAUCGCUUCAAUAGGACGGUUGUUUUGAACAUAUGCACCGAUCAUAGUGUUCCAAAUCUCUGUAUUUCUCUCGGAACAAUGGUCAAAAAUCUUCCUAGCAUAUUCAAGCUCGGCAUACAUAAAUAUUGCCGAGCUCACAACAAACAAGUCAGUCACGUAUUCCCCACCCAACCUAAGAAGCAUACUGUAUAGUCUCCCAUAGCGGAAAGUGCAGGGAAAACAUUGACAAAACUGACAGCACUCGGUGUUAUUCUCAUUCCCAUCAUCAUCCUAAACUGCUUCACUGCUUCUGCAUAUCUUUCCGUCUUAACAUACCACGAAACCAGCGUAUUCCAAGCAACCACAUUCCUCUUGCGCAUUGUAUCAAACACUCUACGCACUAAAUCAUACUGUGAAUAAUCAAAGUCAUAAUAACAAGCAGAGUACAUAUUCAAAAGCGAAUUGCACACAAUCCUACUGGGGAUCGGAAGACACCGAAGAACAUGGCAAUGCAGGGCUUUACCCAUCUUGAAAUUACGCGUGUCGGUGCAGGCUUUGAGGGUAGAAGAGUAAGUGUAAGGGUCGGCCUUGGGCCGGGAGAGGCGGAUUUCAUCUGGGAGUAGAACAAGAGGGCUUCAUUGGCCAUGUUGCUGCAGAUGAAUCCAAUGAUGAUGGUGUUCCAGAGCACGGUGGAGGGGCCAGGCAAAGUGUCGAACAGUUGGCGGGCAAGGUGAGGAGGAGGGAUUCCUCCUGAAAAUGUUUUGCGGACGAUUCAUAAAAUUUCGUGCUAAUGAUCGAAACCAUUAAUGAUAUAAAUCAUUAUGGAAAAUAUCAUCUUUAUAAAAAAAAUUAAAAUGAUGGUAGUGAAGUCAAAUAACUGCAACAAAUAGAUAAAACAGCUCAUAAUACUUUUAAUAAUUCUGGCUAUAUAUAUUUACACAUUUUGAUGACAUAAUGAUUUCAUGUGAUGAUCUUUACACAACGACAUAUAAUAUGAACAAUUCUAACGACAAACACAAAAUUUUGAGUCCGUUACAACACAUUUUUAGGGGAUAUCCUUCUCAUCGUUUCAGUUGUAAAGUAUUAUUCUAAGCAUAUAUAUCAAUUGCAUGGCCUGUGGGAUGGGGGUGGUGUUUUAAUUCUUGGAUUUUUUUCAUGUGGAGGUGAUGAUGUCAUGCCUUUGCUGUCAUUUGCUAAUUUCUAAAACCCUAGCUAGUACAUGCUGUUGUCUGCAGUUAAGAUUUCGGAGUUUAUAACCAAUACAAAUGAAGAAGAAAAGUCACCAUAAUUUAUUACAAGUCGUAAGUAGAAGACUAUAUAGAGACCACAAAAAAACCACACAUAAGAUGAACGCGAUUUAAUUGAUGAAAUUGAGGUUCUAUCAUAAAAUCAAUUGGCAAUAUGAGGAGUAGCCCAAGAUCAUAUAAGCACAUAGCAAACCUUGUCCCUCACCAAUGUGGGACAACUCUCAACAUUAAUCACAUGCGUAGAGAAAGAGUGGGGCUAGCUGUGACUAUUUGUUUUGGCAGUGUAUAGUGUAUACUGGUUGAUGAAAUAGACAGUUUGUAUCGGUGAACUUAGGUCCCUCGUGAUUCCUUGGAUACCACACAACUACAAACACAAGACUUAUCUGCAUAUAUAUUCUCGCGCAUAGGAUCGAUGGAUUACAAGUUUACAACAAACACCAUGUAGAGCAGAAGAAUGUAGAUUUAUCUGCCCAAAAUAAAUUGAUUGAGUGUUAGUACAUGUCUAUGAAUAAGUUAGUGGUUGACAAUGCUCACAGCAUGUAAUGAAGAGUUGGUCAUCUGGAGCUUUCAUUAUUAUUAGUAAAAACUCUAUAUUGAAAAUGAUGUCAAAACAAAUUUUUAGGCAUGCAUUAGGUGCACAUACAAGCUGAAUUGAUCAGUAUUCAGUACAGGGCCAUUCUGAAAAUCUCGACAUCAGGAUUACUUGUUCACACAUUCGUAAGCAAGUUAGAUUUUCAAAGAAAAGAAAAUGUCACCACAAGAUUUUAAGAUUUGAUACGUUGAACUAUGUAUUAAUGGAAAACUUACAAUACAAACGUUGCAAAUUACAUAUCGUAAAAAUAAGCGAGGAGAAUAUAAAAGCCCCCCAACCCAAUUAAAUUUGAUCAAUAAAACGCCCUAAUGAAGAGUAAGAAGAACCACCAUCCACCAAGGCUUUCUUGCUCUUUUCACUCAUCUCCUUCACUCUUUUCCUUACAUCACUGUCAAGCUCCAUCACUCGCCUUAUCCCUCUUUCUAUGUCUUCUGCGCUCACCACCACGUCGCUGUCCUUCCUAUAAUCCAUCUUAAUCUCCACUGACAGUCCCAACUCCUUCACCAAUUGAAAGGCAUUCAGGUUUUGCUCCGCGUACAUUGGCCAUGCGGCAAUCGGCACGCCAUUCCAUAAGCUUUCCAACGUAGAAUUCCACCCGCAAUGUGAUACAAACGCUCCGGUUGCCGGAUGGCCUAGAAUGGCCGCUUGCGGGGCCCAACCAAUCACCUUCCCAACCGUAGCCGUCCGAUCAAGAAACCCUUCGGGCAAGACUGCCUUUGGAUCCUCGUAGUCGCUUGGCAUAGCUCUCUUGCCUUUAGGUGGGGGCCGGCGUAGGGACCACAAAAACCGAUGUCCGCUGUGCUCUAGCGCGCACGCUAUCUCAUUCACCUGGGCCUCACCGAAACUUCCCAUGCUUCCAAAACACAGGAACACCACCGAGAAAGGAGGCUGAUCAUCAAGCCACCUCAAGAUAUCCGAGACCUUAUCUUCAUCACUACUUUUGAGGUUCAAUAAGGGUCCCACCGGAUACACCGGUGGGAUUUUAUCACCAGAAUCAAGAUAAUGAAGAGCAGGCGAUUCUAGCUCCAUGAAUGUAUUAACCAAAAUACCCUUGGUUUGUUUAAACCUGUUGACGGAGUCGAGGAUUGUUUUGGUGCUCUCCUUGUCCAGAAACGAACCAGGCAAGACAGAGGCAGGGUAAGGGUUGAUGAAACUCGGGACGGCCAACUCAGCGGUUGAGCUCGUCAACUCAGUUAUAUCUAUUCCCCCCUCGUCACGAAGCGAUUGAAAAUGGAACAUAAGUGCGAGAGUCGAAGCGUUGGAGGUGAAGAACAGGUAGGAGGGAACCUUAAAUUCGUUGGCCACGUCCAUUAGGCUUGCGCAAAACAUGUCGAGCACGAACCCGGCAAGCCGAGGCUUCGACGUCGACUCAGACUGAUCUGACUCGGGGAGUAAGUUGAUAACGGCGUCUCUGACGUGAGAUGUGUGAUUUUCGACGAGCAUUCUUAAGAAGGACCCGGGAUUGGGGACAGUGUCUUGUUUGUCCGAUUGGGCUUCUGGGAG